GUCCCUGGAGCGCAUUGGAUAACGUGUUGGACUUCUAAUCCAAAUUCGUGGAUUCGAAUUCCAUCUGGGAUG